rnacentral:lncRNA from 1 species
AGUGAAAACAGAGAGAUGAUGAUGAUGGAGUGGAAAUGGUUAAGGCUUAUUAGGAUGGCAGUAAUGUUGUUGGUGUUAGAAGGAUGCAGAUGGUGUACUACUGAUGCUUGUUUGGAGCAUGAGAGAAUCGCUCUCUUGCAUCUCAAGCCUUUCUUCAAUUAUGGUAAUCAAUUGCAAAGUUGGGUUGAGGUGAAGGGUUUAGAUUGUUGUAAAUGGAAAAGAGUUGAGUGUAACACCACCACUAGGAGACUCAUAAAACUCUCCCUUAAUUCUACAAGAUGGUUUGACAAUAUGGGAUACGACAUGGAUAAUGGGAAUCUCAAUGCCUGGUAUCUCAAUACCUCUAUGUUUCUUCCCUUUGAGGAAUUGAAGAGUCUUUAUUUGUCAGGAAACGCCAUAGGUGGUGACCUUGAAAAUGAAGGUCGUGCCUUUAACUUUCCAUUAAUUACAUCUUUUAUUAUUCCACUACUCUCACCAUUGUUAAUUUGCAAUUACUUAUAUUUUAUUUUAUUUUAUUGAAGAAAAGUCACUAACUGCUUGUAUAUAUUUAAAAGAACACUUCUACAGGCUUUGGAAAACUAUCAUCCACAUUGAGUAAUUUGGAGAUCCUUGACUUAAGUUACAAUUACUUGAAUGAUAGCAUUUUGUUAUCUUUGAGUGAGCUUUCCUCUCUCCGGUAUUUAGACCUAUCAUACAACCAAUUUGAAGGAUCAAGUCAUCCAAGAGGUAAAUUAAAUUUGGUCUGGUGUAAGUUUUUAUUUGUAUAGUAGAGUUUGAGGAUGGUCUUCUAGGCUUGGUACCUAGUUUUCCAUUCUUUUUAUCCGUUCUAAUUCCACUUUUGCUUUAGUAAAAUUUUCAUAUAGCUAAGAAAUAAAAAAACAAUUAACAAGUAAUUAUGUAUAUAUAUCAGGUUUUCAAUUGCUUUCAAGACUCAAUAACUUGGAAACUCUUGAUUUAAGUUGGAAUUCUUUGAAGAAUAGCAUUUUGUUCCAUAUGAGAAAUCUUUCAUCCUUGAAGACUUUAAGAUUGAGUGGUAAUCAGUUGAAAGGAAGGCUGGAUCAUAUUCAAGGUAGACUGAUUUUACCUGUUUCUUUUCAACUUUAAAAAUCAAUGUAUAUUCAAGUUUGAUUUCAUCAUACGAUGAAUAUAUAACUAAUCAAUAUUUGGGAUUGAAUUUUAUGAUUGAAUAAUUUGACAAACUUGAAAUACUUGGAUUUAAGUGACAACAGCAUUGAAAGCAUCUCAAACCAAGGUAUAAGUACAGUAUUUAUAUGUCAAUACCCAAAAUUAAAAUUUUAAGACGUUACAUGUAUGUUUGAUAAAAAAAAUUAAUUGAUCAUUCUGUUAAAAAUUAUAUUCAUUUCUGUUGAAAAAUUUAGAGUUGUUGCGAUGUGUGUGAGGAAGUGCCCACAUCCUUUACCAUUGCGGCACAUAGGCACAUUAAACAACUUCCCACAUUUAGGAGUUUGGCAAUUUAUUGAACCAUAUCUUUGGGUUGAGUUGAUAUCGUGGGUUAUAUCAAGUCCAUCAAUGAAUAUCAUAGUACUUGGAGAAACUUAUUUGAAGGAUCAAGUUAAAUAGGAUCGGAUCAAGCCUAUCUAAUCCCUUAGAUUGAGGAAGUUGGAUCAGAUCGAAACAUUAAUACCUUAUUUGCCAACAGCUCAUAUUGCCUUAGUUGUUAUUAUUAUAUUGUAUUCAACUAUUUUAGCUAUCUUUUAGAAGGGAUUGUGAAUGAUCUUCAUUAGGUUAGCAAAUCUUAAAAUCUUUAUAUAAUUAAGAGACUUGUAUAGGCUCUUGUAUUAAUCAUUGAGAGCACUUAAUCUGAUCGAGGAACAUUAUUUAUGUGAGUAAAUAUAGGGAUUAAAACUAUAAUUUCAUCUAUAAUAAUUUCUCAGGCAUUAAAUGUGAGAUUAUUUACACAACCUAAAUUAUUAGGGGGCCUAUAUAAGAUCAAGGUUGACGCAGAAGUCAAUAGUCAACAUUUGAAAGUUAAUGCAAUGAAUUAUGUGAUUGUUGAUAUAUGUAAUAAUAUUUUCUUAACAAUUUCCUCGAACUACUUCGUAGAUGGUGCUAUAUUACAACAUAAUGGGUCACCAAAUGUAUAUAAUUGAGAUUUUUAAGCAAAUAUUAUAUUUUAUCUUUAUCCUUAAAUCAUGAAUAGUAUAGUAAUUGGACUAAUUAAUAUUUAGUACACAGUAGGUGGAGUUUUUAAACUCUAUAAGAAGGAUCAGAGGAGUGAGACAUGUCUUGUAGAGGUGUAGUAUAUAAUGUUAAAAAAUGAAUAUUAAAAAAAGAAGAAGACACAUACCAAUUUUUUAAUGUUAUUUAUGGAAUGUUCUUGAGUUGUGGUUCACAUAACGAAAUUAUUAUAUAAAGGUUAAAUUCUACCAUAUAGUUUUUGUACUUUAUUGAAGUUGUAGAUUUAAUUCCUAGACUUUAAUUUGAUAUUUUAGAUCUUAUGCUUUUUGAAAUUUUAAAAUUUCAAUCCUCACUAAAUGAUAUUUUGUAAAUUCCUUAAGUUCUACUAUCUCCAAGAUUUGGUGUGACAAACAUAUUAUCAUAUGUCUAAUGUUAUGCCCACUUGUUAUUUUUACAUAUUACUCACUAAAAAUCUAGUUAAUAUAAGUUUUGUACAUAUAAGUCGAUUCGCUAUCAAUUUUCAGAUGUUAAUAUCAAGUUCAACAUUUCCAAACCUAAAGUAAUAUUUCAAGACUUUAUUUUUCCAUAAAACUAAUUUUUUUACAUUGGAAACUUUAAUUUUUUUCGACUAUUAGUUAAGAGCGGCUUUUUAAAAUAACCCAAUUUAAUUAAUUAAUUGUAAAAAUAUUCAAGUAAAAUUUUAAGUCAUAUAAAAAAAAUCGAUGUCUUUUUCAAAUUUUGAAUUAAAUGAAUUUAAGGGUUUGGAGAGGUUUAUGUAGAGGUAGCAAAUCCUGAACUGUCCGAUGAAUUUUGAAACGAUCUACUUAGAAUGGAGUGGAUUUUUUUUUAGAAAAGUGGAAGCAAGGUGGGAUGGGUGGAUUUUUUUUUCCAUUGGACAAUGACUAUGGAGCCGUUACGGUAAUUCCUUGUUCCAUCCCAUCCCACUCUACUAUAUAAAAUUACAAUUUCAUCCUUCUAUAUAUAUAAAUAUUAAAAAAAGUAAAAAUGUAUUAUAAAAUAAAUUCAUAUAUUUUAUGUUUAAAUAUUUUUCUAAAAAAAUAUGCUUAAAUAUUUAAUUGGUUUUUAAAAUAUUAAAAAGAAAGUAGUAAAAAUUAUAUAAUCAUAUUUGGUUUAAACUUACAAAAUCUUCCGGGCAAAAAAAAAAACUUUCAAAACCUAAAAUUUCCAUUAAUAAAACCAAAAUCAAAGAAGUAAAAUUUCCAUGAAUAAAAAUUUCCAUGAAUAAAACAAAAAAUGAAGACCUGAAUUUUCCGUUAAUAAAGCCAAGUCAAGAUUAACUUUGUAUAAGUGUAAGAAGGGUAUAAAUGAAACUCACAAGAAAACCACAUGAAGAAUUUUAUAACUCCAACUACAUGAUUUAAUGUCCACCUCUCACUUUUCAUAUUUUUUUGGCCAUUCGUUUUUCAAGAUUAACAUCAACAUUAGAUUUAAAAUCAACGUUGAGCCAUGCUUAAAUUCUUUAAUAGAAUGUUAAGACUUAUUUUUAUGAGUGAUAAACUUAAAUGACUUAAAACUUAUCAUUCUUGUCAUCCCAUCUUGUCUCCAUGAAGAAAUUUUAAAAUAAAUUUAGCAUUGAAUGCCAAAGUCAAGGGUUGAUAAGCAUUCUUGCAGUCCUUUCAUCAUUUCCUAAUGAAUUUCCACCUAGAGUUUUUGCAAUAAGGAAUUUAUGUAAAUAAGAAGCCUAGAUUGAUCCAAUUUUUGAGGAAUUAAUUAAUUAUAUAUUAUUUUUAUAUUAUAGUGAAUUAGUGGGAUGCAGUAUGUUCUGCUUGUAUAUAAAUAAGAAGCUUAGGCUUCUUUAGAUUAUAUACAUAUAGAAGUUAAAAAAAAGUAACAUAUAGCUGAGAGAGAAGUGAAAACAGAAAGAUGAUGAUGAUGAUGGAGUGGAAAUGGUACUUAUGGUUUAUUAGGAUGGCAGUAAUGUUGUUGGUGUUAGAAAGAUGCAGUUGGUGUACUACUGAUGCUUGUUUGGAGCAUGAGAGAAUCGCUCUCUUGCAUCUCAAGCCUUUCUUCAAUUAUGGUAAUCAAUUGCAAAGUUGGGUUGAGGUGAAGGGUUCAGAUUGUUGUAAAUGGGAAAGAGUUGAGUGUAACACCACCACUAGGAGACUCAUACAACUCUCCCUUAAUUCUACAAUAUGGUUAUACAAUAUGGAAUACGACAUGGAUAAUAGGAAUCUCAAUGCCUGGUAUCUCAAUGCCUCUAUGUUUCUUCCCUUUGAGGAAUUGAAGAGACUUUAUUUGUCGGGAAAUGCCAUGGGUGGUAACCUUGAAAAUGAAGGUCGUGCCUUUAAUUUUUCCUUAAUUACAUCUUUUACUAUUCCACUAUUCUCACCAUUGAUAAUUUACAAUUACUUAUAUUUUAUUGAAGAAAAGUUACUAACUGCUUGUAUAUAUUUAAAAGAACACUUCUACAGGCUUUGGAAAACUAUCAUCCACAUUGAGUAAUUUGGAGAUCCUUGACUUAAGUGAAAACUACUUGAAUGACAGCAUUUUGUUAUCUUUAAGUGAGCUUUCAUCUCUCCGGUAUUUAAAUUUAUCAAGCAACAAAUUUGAAGGAUCAGGUCAUCUAAGAGGUAAAUUAAGUUUGGUCUAGUGUUAGUUUUUAUUUGUAUAGUGGAGUUUGAGGAUGGUCUUCUAGGCUUGGUACCUAGUUUUCCAUUCUUUUUAUCCGUUGUAAUUCUACUUUUGCUUUAGUAAAAUUUUCAUAUAGCUAAGAAAGAAAGAAAAAAUUAACAAGUAAUUAUGUAUAUAUAUCAGGUUUUCAAUUGCUUUCAAGACUCAACAACUUGGAAACUCUUGAUUUAAGUUGGAAUUCUUUGAAGAAUAGCAUUUUGUUCCAUAUGAGAAAUCUUUCAUCCUUGAAGACUUUAAGAUUGAGACGUAAUCAGUUGAAAGGAAGGCUGGAUCAUAUUCAAGGUAAACUGAUUUUACCUGUUUCUUUUCAACUUUAAAAAUCAAUGUAUAUUCAAGUUUGAUUUCAUCAUACGAUGAAUAUAUAACUAAUCAAUAUUUGGGAUUGAAUUUUAGGGUUGAAUAAUUUGACAAACUUGAAAUACUUGGAUUUAAGUGACAACAACAUUGAAAGCAUCUCAAACCAAGGUAUAAGUACAGUAUUUAUAUGUCAAUUCAUAUUAAAGGUAGACUGGUUUUAUAUGUUUUUUUUACUUUAAAACCAAUUUUUGUUUAAGGGACAGUUAAUGUUGCAAUAUUUCAAAAUAGAGUAAAUUAAGUAGGAAGGUAUCUCAAACAAAGUAUUUAUAUAUUGAAUCAAUUAAGUUUUACUUGUAAAAUGUAGUUAUCAAUUCAUGGGAAAGCUUGUAAAUUGGCUCUUCCUUCUCAAACAAACAUUUUUCCUAGCUAUUUAUAUAUUGAAUGAUAUUAACUAUACUAAUUAUUUUCUUCCAAUGAUAGAUGGAACACAAUGGAGGCUAACAAACUUAGAGGAACUUGAUUUAAGUAAUAAUCUCUUUCGGAACAACACAAUUUCCUUUCCUCAGGGGCUUUCAAGCCUAAAGUCUUUGACUUUGUACAACAACCGUCUGCAAGGCUCAUUAGAUACUAAAGGUACUAAAGCUAUAACUUUGUUUUUCUUGAUAAUUCUUUCUAGAACAUUUUAAAAUUAAUUGUUUCAAAUUUGAGCAUUCAGAUUUCACGUUUGAGGUUUUUCAUCUUCACUUCAAGUUUUAGAUAUACUUUUUUUUAUUUCAUUAAAAUAUUAAGUAGAAAUUAAAAUUAUUAACAUAAUGAUUUUUUGAAUUGGACAUGGAUAUGUAUAGGAUUGAGCAAUUUAACAAAUUUGAAGAAACUCGAUUUACGUUGGAAUCAAAUUGAAAGCUUUCAAUCCUUUAAAGGUAUGCAUUUAUAUUUAACCAAUUACCUAAAUUCUUACAUAUAAUUAAAUUUUAUGCCAAUUCAUUUUAGUGAUGAAAUUAUAUAAAUCUUUUGUAGAUGGUGGUAGAAAAUUGGAGUCGACCCACUUGGAAGAGCUUAAUUUAGAUUACAAUCUCUUCAAUACUAGUGUAUUUGCAUCCCUUAACAAGCUUUCAAAUUUGAAAUCUUUGAGCAUAAGGUUCAAUGGAUUGAAAGGAUCAAUAGAUAUGAAAGGUAAAAAUAUUAGUUUUUUAACAAGGAUAUAAUAAUGUUUUAAGAGAAUAUAAUGAAGUUGAUUUGUUAAUUUUGUUUUCCUAGAUUUGGAUGCAUUUAUCAAGUUAAGGGAACUAGAUUUGAGCGACAAUGAAUUGAAAGAUUUGGUGAUCCACCAAGGUAUCAUUUAAUUAAACUUCUUUUUUUUUCUAAUUUAGAAAUUUAGUUUUGAUCUCAUAUAUUAUAAUAACGGUUAUUAUCAUAUAUAUUAAUAAAGUUAUAUCAUAUCAUACUUGAAAGUAAAAUAUGAGUUUGGUGAAACAUUUUCUAAAUCCUCCAUUAUAAUGUGUUUCAACUUUAGUUUGAAAUUAAAAUUCUUUAAAAUUUUCUUAAUUUUAAAAUAUUAAUGUUUAUAAUUAUUUUGUUUGUAAAAAUAUAUUUUUUAAAAUAAUUUAUUUAAUUUUUAUGAGAUAAAAAAUAAUUAUAACAAUAAAAACAAUGAUAUUACAAAUAAAUAAAAACAUAUAUUUAUGAGAAAAUAUGUAAUAUAACUAUAUUUUAAUUUCAUAUUUUUUUAAUAGUAUAAAACAUAAAAAUACAUAUUAGAGUUACAUAAAUCACAUUUUUUUUGGCCAAAAAUAAAUAAAUAUGAAUUUUGAAUAAUUUAAAAAAAUCUUCAAUUUUAUGAAAUUUAAACAUACACUUAGAGGUGCUUAAACUUCCAUCGCAAACUUUUUAUAAAUUUGUAAUUUAAUUCUUAUACUUUUAUUUUUAGGAAUUUAGUCCCUCUAUUUUAAAAAAAAAUUUCAAAAUCCAAGUUCAAUAGUUAAAAUUAUUAAUUUUUUUUUUAAAAAUAAUUAGUUGGUGUGACAUUUUGAAAUUAAAAAAACUUUGGUAACAAUGUAACUAAAAAAUGACAUAAUGAAAAUGGAUUUAAUAAAAUAAUUUUAACAGUAUUAAUAAUUAGACUUGAAUUUUAAAAUUGAGUAAAAUAAAUGGCAUAAAACAUAAAAAUACACAUUAGAGUUAAUUAAAUGGCAUUUUUUGGCCAAAAAUAAAUAAAUGUCAAUUUUGAAUAAUUUAAAAAAAACUUCAAUUUUAUGAAAUUUAAACAUACAUUUUGAGGUGCUUAAAAUUUUUUUUCCAAACUUUUUAUAAAUUUCAAAAUGCACAUGUUAUUAACUUAAAAAUAUGCACAUUAGAUUUAAAUUAAAAUAAUAUUUUUUUAGUUUAAAAUUUUCUAUUUUAUAAUAGAACCAUGAUUUAAAUAAAUGAGAUUUUGAAGAAUUGCCAAAAAAAACUAUGUAGGUGAAAUUUAAAUAGAGAAUUUGAGAAGCUGAAAGUCUCUUUCGGAAUUUAUAAAUUUUAAAAUUCAAAAGGAUGUAUUUUGACAAUUUUAGGGCAAUGAUUGAGUGCUUUAAAAUUUUGAUUUAAUAUGGAGAAUUUAAUUAAAAAAUUUAUUUAUUAGAUUGUAAAAUAUUUCUUAACAUUUAUAAUUGAGUACAAAGUAAAUUAAGUUUAAGGGAAAAUAUUUGGUAAAAUUAUUUUCUUUUAUCAAAUUUUUUUUAAAAAAAAUCUGGUUUUUUUUAAAAAAAUUGGGGUGGUACUAUUAAUGAAAUUCUAAACUUCAUAAGUAGGAUUGAGAUAAUAACAAAUAUAUUAUAUGGUAUAAUAAAAUAUUAAAAAAAAGAAAUAUUUAAAAGAAAUAGGUUACUGGCCAUUUUUUAACUUCACUUGUAGAGUUAAAAAACUCCAUUACUAGUACCAAAUACUAAUAUUAAGGAAUUAAAUGCUAAAUUAAUUUCAAACAUAUUUAAAUCUGAUAUGAAUCAAGAAAAAAUUUAUUUUGAAAUUAUAUUUUAUCUUAGAAUGCUAAAAGAAGAAAAAAAAAAAAGGGAUUAGUUUAAUUAAUAAAAUGAAUAAAUAGUUAUGUUAAGAUUUGGACAUUCUCUAUUAAAAUUUUAUUUUAUUGAUGAAAAUAAAUAUUUAUAUAUUUCUUUCACUUACAGAAAAUAAGGGAUUGAGAAAUUUGAAAGUUUUGUUUCUUUAUCACGCUUUCACCGAUGGAAGCAUUCCAUUACAAAAUUUAGUGGAGUCUUUCUCAUCAGUUAAAGCCUUUCAUCUACAAUACAAUUAUCUGAACAUGACUCUGGCUACUCAAGGUAAGUGAAAGUCAUUAUUUUCUUUUCCAAAACAGCUUACGUUUGAUUAACAUCUAAUACCUCUUCUCAUCCUUUAGAAUUAAAUGUGUCGAGCAGUUUGGAGGAAAUAUAUCUUGACUAUUCUACUCUCAACACCAACAUUUUGCAAAGCAUUGGAGUAUUCGCUUCUCUUAAAACAUUGUCUUUACAUGAUUGUGGACUUAUCGGUCCCUUACCUAAUCAUGGUAAAUAAAUUUAUGGGUCAAAUUGACUUCUUUAUGAGCCUUCUGGGAUAUAAUAUCUCCUAUUAUGUUUAAUAGGAUCAAAUUUAAUUAAAAUUUCUUCAAUGAAUUUAUAAAUUUUUCAGGAUGGUGUGAUCUAAGGAACCUUGAAGUGUUGGAUGUGAGUGGGAAUGCACUUGAGGGGAUGCUUCCUCAUUGUUUCAGUAACUUGACAUCUCUUCGUGAGUUAGAUAUUUCAGCAAACCGUUUUCAAAUUCCACUAUCAUUCGCACCAUUUGCAAACCUUUCAAACCUCAAAGUCCUUUCCGGUGAUGAAAACAAGAUGGUAAUGGAACCUUCCUUUUAUACCUCAGUCCCAAAGUUUCAAUUGACCAGCAUCAGUUUGUCAAAGUGCAUUACAUCUCAACAACUCAAUCUUGAACUUCCUACCUUCCUUUACUACCAAUAUGACUUGAGAUAUGUGGAUCUUUCUCAUAACAAUUUCAGCGGAACAGUCCCAACUUGGUUGUUAGAAAACAACACAAAGUUAGAAGUUCUCAUCUUGAUGGGUAAUUCCUUUACUGGUCCUCUCUCAUUUUCGUCAGCUCUUAUUUCUAAUGUAUCUUCAAUUGACAUAUCUGAAAACAAAUUACAAGGUCAAAUUCCGACUACUAUAUGUUCAACUUUUCCACAUUUGUGGCGGUUAUUCUUAUCCAAGCAUGCUUUUGAAGGUAAUAUCCCACUUUGUUUAAGUGUCAUGAAGUACUUAUCAUUUUUAGAUCUAUCAAACAAUCAAUUGUAUGGAAAAGUACCAGAAGAGUUGAUCGCGAAAGGCUCACUGACCAUUUUGAGACUAUCAAAUAACAAGCUCAGUGGAAAUGUAGUUCCUGUGGUUCUCAACUCAAAUGGGGUGCAGAAUUUAUAUUUGGAUGGAAACAAUUUUUCAGGAGAGAUGACAAAUGUUGAUUUGUCUACUUUUGAGUUUCCAAAUUCAAUAAGGGAAAUUGAUCUUAGUAACAACAAGUUGCAUGGAAAGCUCCCAAGAUGGAUAGGGAAUGCAUCGUUUUUGGAGAGAUUAGCUUUGUCCAACAGCGGUUUCGAGGGUUCUAUUCCAAUGGAAUUUUGCAAGUUGAAUAGGUUGGAAUUUUUGGAUCUUUCCCAAAAUCAUUUAUCUGGAUCUAUACCGUCAUGUUUUAAUCCACCAAACAUAGAGCAUGUCCACCUCCACGGGAAUAGACUGAGAGGUCCACUAUCACUUGCUUUUUAUAAUAGCUCCUCUCUAGUGACUUUAGAUCUUAGAGGAAACAAUUUGACAGGUAAUAUUCCAAAAUGGAUUGACACACUUUCUUCUUUGAGUGUUCUUCUCUUGAAAGAUAAUCAUUUUCACGGUAAAGUUCCAAUUCAGUUAUGCAAGUUGCAUUCUUUAAGCAUCAUAGAUCUUUCUCAAAAUAUGUUUUCUGGUCCUAUACCUUCUUGUUUGGGAAAUUUAUCUCUUCCAAUGCAAACGAAGAAGAUUCUAGACAUUGGGAUCUAUAGGCAAUCUACAGAAGAGGAUGAAUCAACACGCAUUAUGAUAGCAAAUCUGGGACCGGAUUCUUACUACCCUUACAGCUACUUUGAAGAAGUAAUAGAGUUCACAACAAAGAGUGGGUUCUAUUCGUACAAGGGCGACAUCCUUUCAUAUAUGACUGGGAUUGAUUUAUCUUGCAACAACUUAACUGGUCAUAUCCCACCAGAAUUAGGGAACUUGAGUGAAAUCCAUUCUUUAAACCUUUCACACAAUAAGUUGACCGGAGUUAUACCCUCGUCAUUCUCAAAACUUCAUCAAAUUGAGAGUUUGGACCUUUCUUACAACAACUUGAGUGGUGAAAUCCCCAAUCAAUUGGUAGAGUUGAACUCUUUGGAGGUUUUCAGCGUGGCAUUUAACAACUUGUCAGGUAGUAUUCCCGAACCAAAAGCUCAAUUUGGGACCUUUAUUGAAAAUAGUUAUGAGGGAAAUCCGUUUCUUUGUGGAGUUAUAUUGCAUAAAAGUUGUUCCAAAACCGAUUCACCAUCAACUAUAUCAACUGUAUCAGAAGAUAAAAGGAGAAGAUGGUUUGAUAGAUACUUAUGAUUUUUGUGUGAGCUUUUUGGUUUCUUAUGUAGUUGUGUUGUUGACAAUUUUUGUUGUCCUCUACAUAAAUCCAUAUUGGCGAAGAGCUUGGUUUUCUCUAGUUGGGAAAUGCAUUACCACCUGUCACUACUCAAAUGUGGGCAAUUCUUACUUAUCACAUUUUCAAGCGAUGUGUUUAGCUACUCAAAUUGCGAUUUGAUUUCCACACCUAAAUGUUUAAUUAUGCUAAGUUGAGCGAUAAUGAAUAUUUUGUUGAUUUUUGCAUUUUGAAUAAAAGCUCUUUUACCUUAUGGUUUUAUCAUUUUCAACCAACUAUUUCUUUUUUCUUCUAUGAAAUUUAAUGUAAAAUCAUAAUCCAUUAUUAUGUAUAUGUAAUAUCUCUUUAAAUUAAAUUAAAUUAAAUUAACUGCCAAGCGUUCACUAGUGCAUACUAAAAAGGAAAUCUAAUGUAAAAUUAAAUAACAUACUAGAAAAUUGAAUCUAAAACUGGAAUAUUUUAAAACCUCACAAACAAUGCAAUUCUUUAUUCCUCUUUUCCUCUCAAGUUAUUUUGUAUCAUGUUAUAUUUUACAUAAUUAUUCGUAUCAUCAAUUUUUUUAAAAAAAAUUAAUAUUUUGAUAUCACGUUCAUAUUAUGCUUUAAUUCACAAUGUAUUUUGUACAAUAUGUUUGUAAUACCCAAUUUUGUCCGGCCCAUUAAAACCCAAUUUGAAAUAAAACUAAGUCGGAGUCCAUAUUACAGCCCAAAUUCGGCCUAAUAAGGCCCAAAUUGCUAGCCCUAGCCUGUUAGCCCAAAAGAACACAGGGUAUAGCAGAUUGAAGCAAAUCGGUGCCGCAGCAACUGCCCACGACAUGGCAACGGUUUCCACCCACGUUCAGCAAUUCCCCACACCCACCAUGCACGUUCUUCACCUGCAACAAACCAUAAACAGCAUUAUAGGAUCGAAUAUACAGCAAAAAAAAGGGGGGAAAUUUUAGUUGGUGCUUUCCGGUAAAUAUCGGCUAUAAAAGUCAAUCGAUUUUUGUAAGAAGGGGGUUACACACAUAUAUUGAAAAAUACUGAAAUACGAAAGAAAAGAAUUAGAAAAAAACAAAUUUUGGAAGGUGAUUUUUGUUCUUUCCACGUCUUUUUACUUUUUUCUGUUUUUUUGUCUCAUCUUUUUCUUUUGUAUUUUACUUCAUUUUUUUUAAAAUAAAACGAAAAGUAAAAGAAAGGGAGGAGAUUCUUACCAGCAGAGGCGCGCCGUCAGCAUAGUUUUCUUCGCUUUGUCCAAAUCGAAGUUAAAAGGGGAGGGGGUUUUGGCGUGAAGAGUUGGGAAGAAGAUGAAACAGUUUUUAAAGCUAUUGCUGCUGCAGAAUAGCGUUUAAAUUUGAGAUUGAAAAGGGUUUUAAGUACUGAUGGGUUAUUUACGCUUUUAAUCCUUCCAUUUUAUCCCACCAUUUCAAAAUUAUUGUUGUUUGUUUUCAAAUUUUUCCAUGAAACAUUAUUAAUGUUUUGAUUUAAUACAAUGUUGUGCAAUGCUUUGGGUGGUUUGGGUAAAUUAUUCUUUUAGUCCUCUUUCUGUUACACGUGUUUUAAUUUACUCCCUUCCUUGUUUUUAUUUUCAAAUUUAGCUCUCAACUUCUGUUUGGAAUUUUAAUUUAGUCCUUAAUUUGUUUUUUUAGUUUAUUUUUAUUAUAUUGUUUAUAUUGUUUAUUAUUAUAAUUAUUAUAUUAUUAUUAUUGUAUUUAUAUGUGUGCGCCUAUAUAUAUAUUAAUAUACAUAUAUAUUAUAAAUGUUUUAACUAUAUAGGUAGUACGUAUAUAUAUUUUAUUUUUAUAGUUCGUACAUAUUUUAUAUACAUUCAUUUUUUUAUAUAAUAAUAUUUAUGUUUUCAUGUUUUAUAAUUCAUAUGUAUAUACAUUUUAUAAUAUGUACAUAUAUUUUUGCAUUCUUUUCAAGGCUUUUAUAAACAUUUUCCAUGUUUUUAUAUUUACUAAUACAUUUAAAAAAAAACAUGUAUUAAUAUAUUUUAUGUGUAUUUUAUUUUAUUAUUAUUUUUAUGACUUACGCAUUUUAUUUUAUUUUCCCUUUCCCCUCAUAUUCCUGUACGUAUUUGCUAAAAUUGUUUAUAUAUUAUACUUAUAAAUAUGCAUAAUUUAAAUUUAAAUAUUUGCUUCAUAUUGCAUUAACAUUUUUAACAUAUUUUUAAUAAAUAUUUUGAUUUUUGUAAAAAAUAGUAAAAUUGGUUUUAUGAUCCAAAGGCUUUUAAAAUAAAAACGAUAUUCAAAGUUAGGGAUUUUCGAGGAAAAUUGAGCCCUAACGUAUUGGGUUCCGAUUUUCUUUGUUAAUUCUAAAUAACCGAGAAUAUUCGUUAUUUAAAAUGUAUAAGUAAAAAUCAUUUUUGGGAACUUAAUUUGCUAUGUCCUAAUGUAUUAGGCAUGACAUAAUUGCUUUCUCGAAAUGAAGAUUUUCUUUAAUAGUUAAAAAGCGAUAUCCAAAGUUCGGGGAUUUUGAGAAAUUGUACCCUAAGGUAUUGGGUCUCGAUUUCUUUAUCUAACUUGAACAAUUGAUUAUCCUUUUUCAGAUUUCAUCAUUUGAGUUUUUUAAAAAAAAAAAUUUAACCCUCAACACUAAGACAUUAAAUAAUCAAUUUGGUACCGAUUUUUGGGCGUUACGAGGGUGCUAACCCUUCCUCGUACGUAACUAACUCCCGAACUCGUUUUCUCAAAUUUCGUAGACCAGAAUGAUUUUUAAGGUGGGCCGAUCACACCUCAAUCUAGGAUCGGUGGCGACUCCAAUUUUGUUUUUAAAGUCGACAACCCAAAUUUUUGUUUUCAAAAAAUGGUUUCGACAAUGUUAUAACAAUUCAAUUUAAAAAAUAAGCAAUGAUCUUAUUUUUGCAUACCGUAAUAUACAUUUACAUGAUAAUAAUUCAUUGUACAUAAAUUUUGACAUGUUCGUAUAUUUGAGUCAUUAUAAUUUUAUUAUUUGUAAUAUGACAUGUUUUACUUACCCUUAAUAUUGUGUCAUGAUAAUUAUAACUCGAUUGGCAGUGUACCAAAUAUUUUUCUAAUAAAAAAUAGUAUUUUAUUCUAUUUACUAAAUCUUUAUCAACUUUAUAUUCUCACCAACAAAACAUACAUUCAAAGUUCAAAUAAGUUCCACACCCAUUUAUGCUCAUCAUCAGAAAGCUGAAAUAUUCCACUCUAAUUAACAUUAUGAUUCUGUAAACAACAAAAAAGUGUGAUCUUUUUUUAAAGCUCUUUUUUUUCUUUAAUGAAAUGGGAUUGGUAAAAAAUCCGCACAUGUGUCGUGUGUGAAGAAGGUCAGGUUGUCUAUUCAUACUGUAAUAAGUAGCUAAUUAUAGUUGAUCCUACAAAAUCAAAAUUAAUUCAGGUAUCUAUAUAUUCUGAAGACUGGACAGACCUUAGAAGCUCCUUCAAAUUUGCAAGAACAUGUCGUGGUCCUAAACUCUUUACACCGAUGAAAUUCAAAAGUUGCUCUAUAUCCUGCAAUCACAGUAAAGAUUAUGCAAGCGUUUCAGAACGAAUAACAUAACAAGCAAAAGGCAAUCAAAAUACUGUGAUCUCGAUAAUGUUCUUUGCCGAAAAGGAACAUAAACAUAACCUGAAAACAUCAGUGAAGGCUCAUCAGAUUUGCUUAGCAACCUUACAUACACAUGUAAAAAGCUUUGCUUUUGGAUGUAAGGUGUGACUAUCAUCACAGUCUUUCCUAAUUAGCUGAUAACCCUAUAUCUAACAUUAAUCAUGGCUAAGCAAAUUAACAUACAUAAUGUAAAGGAAUUUGACUAUAAGAUCCAACAGAAAACUUAAUAAAAGAUAAUCAACAUAGAAAGUUAAAAGGCAAUGCAAACUUAUUACAAUGAUGCAAGUGGAUCAAAAGAAAGCACUCUAUAAGGAAUUUGCAUUUAAGGCAUUGUAAACAGAAAAAAAAAAAAAAAACUUUUUGGAAAGUAUUUUCAAAGAGGAGACAAACAGGGUAGAAAAAAUGUUUGGUCCUUCCUUUUUCUAUUUCUACUGUGGUGAAAAAGCCUUCUUGGGUUAAAAGUGUUUUUACACUGCAGAAGUGUUUUUCCACUGCAGAAGUGACGAAGAACACAUAGCUUUUGCAGUCAAAAACCUACUGCUUUUGGCUUUUGCAUUUCGAAGUGAAAAUUAUAAAAAUACUCUUAGAUUAAUUUAUAUUUUAUAUAUUAUUAUAUUAAUUGUUUAAAUCUUAUUUAUUAUUAUAUUUAAUUUUUUUCAAAAUAUUUUAUAUAUCAUCAAUUUUACAAAUAAUUUAUAUUAAUUACUUAAAAGGUAUUUAAAAGUUAUAUUUCAUGUAUCAUUAUAUUAAAUUAUUUAAAUAUCAUAUAACUUGACUAAUUUUUUUCUUUCUACCAUCAUGUCUAAAAAAGACAUUUUAACUUUCAACUGUAAUUUUUGGCAGUAAUGAACAACACUAAAAACUAACAAACAUACUUUUCCGCACCACAUUUCAACAACACUUUUUUCUAAACGCACUUUUGAACUAGUCCUUAGUCUAUCAUGCAUCAACUCUUCAUUUUUCUUUAACUACCCAUGUCCGACUUCGAACAUGGAUAUGGAGAUAUGACCAAGUCACAGUGACAUAGUUUUUAGUUAUGGGGAAUGGGAUUCGAGUGCUGGACCUCCUUUUAGAUGCAUGGUGGGACUUCAUCACAUUUUUCAAAUUUGUUGAUAAUCCUUCACCUAAUCUGCCGGUGAAGUUUAUAGAUAGUCUUAAGUGUCUAUCACAAGAACCUAGAUAUUGUAAAUCCAAUAUCUUCCAAACAAUUCAACCAUGAUAUUAAUGAUGAUGGAAGCAAGAUUAUCCACUAUCAAUGACAUAAAAUGAGCUGUAAAUGCUGACGAACAAACAUGCACUGUUUUUCCAACCUGUGGAUUGAAGAGCAUUGACAAGCUAACUUUGCAGACCAUUUGAAUCCAAUACUAUACAUAAAAAUGCCAAAGGAGAAUAAUUCAUCUUGGAAAAAGAAUUACUAAUAUGCAAAAGCUUACCUUGUUUAACAAGAAAACAGCAUAUGCUGCUCUUGUCGUGUCUUGACCUUCUAAAAACAGCGGAAAUUCUGCCAGCUUUACAUUUGCUGAAAGUGUUGUAUCCAAUGACAAAUCAGAAGAUGCAGGGUCUAUUGAAGACGCAUGGUCAUUAAUAUAUGAGCGAGAACCACCCAAGCGCAGAGGAUAACGCAAGGGAACUUGUAAAUAGGAUGCAAUUAGUGAAACAGCCUGCAAAUGAUGAAAUAACAGGAAACAAGAAACAAUAAUAGGUAUGAUUAAAAUUAUAGCCUCAGCAUGAGAAACAAACAAUCAAGAUGCAACCCACUAUACCAUAUUACCAUCCUAGCAAUUAAAAAUUACUACAGCAUCUUCAAGCAACAAGGGAUUGUAGGUGGUAGGUCAAAAAACUUGAUAUCCACAGCUUGAUAUUAUCAGAAAAAACAAAUUCAGUAAUAAAUGAUAACUUCACAGAAGAAAUAGAACGCACAUGUGCAACAGAUCCCAAGGCAGUUGCAGAUCUCUGAACCUCCUUUUUGUCAGUGAAAAAACUCAUCUUUGUAAAAGGAAGCAAGGUGAGAUUCAGACCUAAAAUUGUCAACGAUCCUUGAUUGACGGGCUUUGAUGCAGAAGGAUUCCCUAUUGAAGACAGGAACAAAGGAACUUCAUAUCAGUACAUCACCAGACACCACCUCUUUGUGAAAGUCAAAAGAAAAUUCAAAAAAAUAUCAUCAUGAAAGUAAGAGAUAUGUAAAAAGUACAUAAUAUUCAAGAGCAAAAAAAAAUUGUUUUGAUAUGAGGAGAAUUGAAUAGUAGAUUGCUAAAAGAGGAAUAACUGAAUACAACCAUUAUAACCAAAAGAAGAGUCAAGUGAUAGGUAAUGGUACUCCCUAAGCUGUUUAGGAAUCAUAAAAGACUUGUCCAGUCGACAAAAAUAACUCAUUUUAUUCUCCCCUAGUAAAACAUCAUAUUGGACCAACCAUAUUUGAUAUCAAAGGAUAUGCAUAUCCAGGCAUGCCAUUUAUAGAUAUUCCCAGUGUUACAAGAAGGAAUUGUUCAAGAGAAAGAAGCUGCUAUUGUUGGUAAAGUUUUCCUCAAAACAUUUUGAACAUCCAAAAUCUCAAGAACAAAAAAGAAAACGUAGGAGGAAAUAAAACAAGCAUCACAACGGGUUCUCGAUGAUAUAAGUGAGAGGAUAAAUGUUAAUUAAGAAUAUAAAAAUAAACCACAAACUAAACAGGAAAGACAUGGAUUUCAAAACGAGGAGACUGGCUGCUAAUUAAAACCAUAUGCGGCGUUGUCUAGGGCGCAAGGCACAUUCUAGGUGCUAACCUUUAUAUUGCCUCAAGCACAAGGCACAAAAGGAAGCGCUAGCCUGAGUGCAGUAAAGCGCAAUACGUAUAUGUGAGAGUUUUUGCAAGUCUGUGUGUCUAUAACAUAAAAGUUUUAAGAUAUAUGGUAAACUCUAAAGUGUGGUCUGGUUUAUCCACAAAACUUGCAAAAUUUUUAUAGGUGAAUACUUAAAUAUUGAGAAUUAUAGAGUUUGAUAUUAUCCCUUUCUUAUUAGUAAAGGUGUAUCAAAUGAAAACAGUAGAAAAUAAAAUAAAAUAUUGAGAAAUUCAACAAGGCAGGCUUUUUCUAAUGCCCAUUGCCUUACAAAAAAAGUGUGCCUAGGUGCACCAGGCAUACGCUUGAUCAAAUGGACCUCACCUGGAAGGGUCCAAGGCGUUUUGUUGUAUAAAACUAAGGCGUAGGCACGCCUAGGCGCAUGCCUUGACGACACUGACCAUAUGUUGGCUUUAUUGCAAAGCAUUAGCAAUCCAAAACUACUAGCACAUUACCUAAUCUACUACUGCUAGAAUAGGACUCAAGUUCUUGCUCCUGUGCAGGUCCAACCAAGAUCUUUACAGGAUACAAUAAUGAAACUUGUGAUAUCAUAUAUUGUUGCCUUGCUCGAAGCUUCCUUUGCACAUUUUUAAGUUUAACACAACCCCUUUCUUCAGUGAGUAAUCUAUUUGCUUCCUGUGAUAAAAACAACAUAUAAUCAAUCAUGCCACGCAUGCAAGACUACCAACCAACUAUCUAAUAAAAGAGACAAAGAAGUAGGAGAGCAAGAAGGGGAUAACCCUUGACUAUGCAAAGGAAUUCAUAGAAUGAGAAUCAUCUCAUCUAAGCCCCUCAACCACCUUCACAGGGGGUGGAGGUGCAAAGAGAGAGGUCUUAUUGAUCCGAGAGGAGAAUAUAUAACAUCUAAAGCUGAAUAAGAAGAAACCUUCAAAUAUAUCAUAAAUUCAGAAUUCAUGAUAAUAUAAAAAUGAAAUUCCAAAGCUAAUUUAAGCUAGAAUAAAAAUGCUUCACCUGUAAUCGCUUCCUUGCUACAGAAAGAGAGGUACCAGCAACCAACAAUGAUCUUACUUCAGUACUCAGCAUUUCCUCCUGUUUUUUAGCAUCCUCUGUUGCAACUUUGCAACGAGUUGACAUGUUUGCCAUAACUACUUUCCUUGCCUCUAGUCUCUCACGCAUUUCCUCAAGCUCGUUCAGUUUAUUCAAAGACUCAUUUUUUACCUGCACAGCAUGUUCCCACCCAUUAAUCAGUGGGCCAAUUAAUUAGGUCACAGAAGACAAAACUAAAUUAUCACUCACCAGGUCCCCUUGAAGUGUCAUAUGGCUUUAACAAUUCAACGUGCAAUAUCUAGUAAAAGUGAAAUAAACAUAGAAGAAUGCAAAUGCAAUUCUUAAACGCCUUUAAAUGGACAACAUGAAACAGUUUAAGAGCCCUAUAAAACAGAAAAGUGGAAAAAAAAUCUGAAAAGGAAAAAAAAUGAAUUGAAACAAUAAAUCCAUCCCUUGAAGUGUCAUAUGGCUUUAACAAUUCAACGUGCAAUAUCUAGUAAAAGUGAAAUAAACAUAGAAGAAUGCAAAUGCAAUUCUUAAACGCCUUUAAAUGGACAACAUGAAACAGUUUAAGAGCCCUAUAAAACAGAAAAGUGGAAAAAAAAUCUGAAAAGGAAAAAAAAUGAAUUGAAACAAUAAAUCCAUCCCUUGAAGUGUCAUAUGGCUUUAACAAUUCAACGUGCAAUAUCUAGUAAAAGUAAAAUAAACAUAGAAGAAUGCAAAUGCAAUUCUUAAACGCCUUUAAAUGGACAACAUGAAACAGUUUAAGAGCCCUAUAAAACAGAAAAGUGGAAAAAAAAUCUGAAAAGGAAAAAAAAUGAAUUGAAACAAUAAAUCCAUCUGGUACAAACAGCAACAAAUCUCGAAAUAAGCCUUGGCUUUAGCCCAUUAAAGCCCGGGCAUCCGGCCAAAUAAACAGUGACUGCCAUGUCAACUUUUUGAGACGGUAGAAAAGAGCUCAAAAAUCUCAAUUUCCAAAAUUAAGGACAUAAGAAGGAAAAAAAUGUACUUAUUCUUACAGUAGAAGAGCAAAAUGAAACUAAAUGAAGGAUAAGGGAACUGAUGCGAAUUGACAUUGUUAUUUUUGGGACUAAAAAGAAUACGCAGAUUGAAUAUUUAAGAUUUUGCAAGGGAAAAGUUCCAUUCACCAACACAAUUAUCAUCGCCCUUUAUCCCAGUAAAGCUUAAUUGACAAUUUUUCUGUCUCGUGUUCUUGCUAAAGCAUUUGAGCAACCCAACAGAAAUCAUUAUAUGUCAAACUGAAAUGAUUGGCUUUAUCAAUUUCACAACCUAUACUGCCCAACCUAGUAAGUAAUUUAGGUGCAGACACCAGAAAUCUAUUUUCUUUGCACUCUACAACCAAAUAGCCUACCACUUAUCAAUCAAACACAGCUGAAAACUUCAGUGAGGAAACAUUAUGUAAACUGAAAAAACUAUAACUUCAACUUGAUUCAUAGCUCGGUAAGUUCAGGGAACUGGGACUUCUACCACCAUGAUCCAGUUCGAUGUGAAACAGUGAUCCAUAUCACGCAUAUCGGUUCCCGCAACAAGAGGUAAAACAACAAAUUAGGUAAACAAUGAUCCAACUAUAUUUCAGAAUAGCAACAUUGAGCAUGAAAGCUAAAAUUAUAGCAUAUUAUGGGUCCUUGCUCCCUACAACUACAUAUAAAAUUACUAAACAAUAUUACUACAUUAAGGAUCCAGAAAAACUUGGUUUCAAUUGUUGAUCACUUGAUCCAACUAUUUUAGAAAGUUUAUUCUUCUUUUUCCUUUCCCUUAUUUUCUAAAUCAGGAAAAACAGUAGCAUAUAAACUGGAUUACUACUCCAAUUAAGUUUCUAAAAUUUCAGCAAUAUCCCUUUAACCUUUUCACUCAAGUCACUACCCCCCCCCCCCAAUUAACAAAUAUAUUCCCAGUUUCCCUUUCACUUCAAACCCCCCCCCCCUUUUUUUUUUCUCUACCCAAAUUCAGCUUACGUUCAAAAACCCAAAAUUGGUUUGCUAAAAAAACAUAAUUUUCAAACCCAAAGGUAACCUAAUUUUAAUCAGAAAAAAAAAAAAAAGCAUUACCUGAAUUAGUGAAUGGAGUUUCUCUUGAAGACUUUAUUUUAAAAUUAUCUUAUACUAUUUGCUUUAAAUCGAUUUUUAUUAGUUAUUUGAAACUCGUUUUCAUGUACUAUUUAUUUUUUUAUCACUUAUUUAAAUUGUUUUACAUAUCUAUUUUUUAAACCCUAUUUUAUUAUAUUUUACUUAUUUUAACUUUUUUACAUAUUUCAUUAUAAAUAUUAUUAAUUAUCUAUAUUGAGUUUUUCAUUCAUAUGUAUUACUUAUUUAGAUAAAUAUAUACUAUUUUGUGUAUUACUUAUUUUGAUUUUCUUCUUAUACAAUAUUACUUUAAAAUUCAUUUAGAUAUUAUUAUUUCACAUAGUAUUUAUUUUUAUCUUCAUUUUUGAUCUAUUUCAAACUCAUAUAUAUUGUUUAUUUUGAAAUUUUAUGCACAUGAUUAUUGUUUAUAUUGAUGAUUUUAAAUUUCCUUUCUUGUAUUUUUAUUUAUUUAUUUUAAAACUUGUUAUACUUUAUUUGUGUUAAUUUGCUUAGUUUUUCUUUCAAAAUUAACUUAUAAUUCAUUAGCUUUUAAUGUUAGUAUUUGCAUAAUAUGUGAUAUAAGAUUAUUGCUCUCAUGUAUUGCUUAUCUGUAUAUAUUGAUUAUUUGUCAUUCAUUAGUAUAUAUUUUGUUUUACGAAUUAUCACUUCUCGCGUUGUACAUUAUCAUUUCCAUCGCGUUUUAUUUGCUCAAAAAUUAUGUUUAAUAUGGCUUAAGUUUUGAAAUCAUUUUAUCCAAAAGCUUCCAAUAUAGCAUAACACUCGGUGUUUGGGAUUUUUGAAAAGAUCGUACUCUAACUUACGAGGUCUCGAUUUUUUGAUAAUUUCAAAUAUACGAACCUUUAAAAAAAAAACAAGACACAUUUACUUAAAAAUUAUCUCAAGAAUCAAAAAAAGAUCGUGUCCCAACUUACCGGAUAUGAUUUAUUAUCUGAAACCGAUAUGAUCAAGAUUUUUAAAAAUAAAUAAAUUUUGGUGUUUAUUCUCGUUUCGGGAUUUAAGAUAUUGUGUCCUAACUCACGGGAUAUAAUUUUUUUCUCGAUUAACGAGAAAUACACCCUUCUUUAAAUUUUAACAAAAUGGUCAUUUUUUUAAAUUUCUUUUCGAAAUUUUAAUUUUUCGACAUUAAGACAUUAAUUAAUCGAUUAGGUACUAAUUUUGGGCAUGACGGGGUGCUAAUCCUUCCUCGCGUGUAACUGACUCCCGAACCCGUUUUUCUUAAAUUUCAUUGACCAAAAUCAUUGUUUUAAUAAAAUCAAAAUGUUUUAUCAAAACGAUUGAAUUGCAAUGUGAUCCAAUCACACAUAAAAAAAAUGUCGGUAGCGACUCCCUUUUUUUCAUUUUCAAAAUAAAAGUCAACACUAUUUUUGUUUUCAAAAAGUGGUUUCGACAAAAUUGUUUAAAUCUUACUUAUUAUUAUAUUUAAUUGUUUUUCAAAAUAUUUUAUAUAUCAUCAAUUUUACAAAUAAUUUAUAUUAAUUACUUAAAAGGUAUUUAAAAGUUAUAUUUCAUGUAUCAUUAUAUUAAAUUAUUUAAAUAUCAUAUAACUUGACUAAUUUUUUAAUUUCUACUAUUAUGUUUAAAAAGAACAUUUUAACUUUCAACCGCGAUUUUUAGUAGCAAUGAACAACACUAAAAACUAACAAACACACUUUUCAGCACCCCUUUUCAACAACACUUUUUUCUUAAAGUACUUUUGAACUAGUCAUUAGUCUAUCAUGCAUCGACUCUUCAUUUUUCUUUAACUACCCAUGUCCGACUUCAAACAUGGAUAUGGAGAUAUGACCAAGUCAGAGUGACAUAGUUUUUAGUUAUGGGGAAAAGGAUUCGAGUGUUGGACCUCCUUUUAGAUGCAUAGUGGGACUUUCAUCACAUUUUUCAAAUUUGUUGAUAAUCCUUCAUCUAAUCUGCCGGUGAAGUUUAUAGAUGGUCCUAAGUGUCUAUCACAAGAACCUAGAUAUUGUAAAUCCAAUAUCUUCCAAACAAUUCAACCAUGAUAUUAUUAAUAAUGAUGAAAGCAAGAUUAUCCACUAUCAAUGACAUAAAAUGAGCUGUAAAUGCUGACGAACAAACAUGCACUGUUUUUCCAACCUGUGGAUUGAAGAGCAUUGACAAGCUAACUUUGCAGACCAUUUGAAUCCAAUAAUAUACAUAAAAAUGCCAAAGGAGAAUAAUUCAUCUUGGAAAAAGAAUUACUAAUAUGCAAAAGCUUACCUUGUUUAACAAGAACACAGCAUAUACUGCUCUUGUCGUGUCUUGACCUUCUAAAAACAGCGGAAAUUCUGCCGGCUUUACAUUUGCUGAAACUGUUGUAUCCAAUGACAAAUCAGAAGAUGCAGGGUCUAUUGAAGCUGCAUGGUCAUUAAUAUAUGAGCGAGAACCACCCAAGCGCAGAGGAUAGCGCAAGGGAACUUGUAAAUAGGAUGCAAUUAGUGAAACAGCCUGCAAAUGAUGAAAUAGCAGGACAUUAGAAACAAUAAUAGGUAUGAUAAAAUUAUAGCCUAAGCAUGAGAAACAAACAAUCAAGAUGCAGCCCACUAUACCAUAUUACCAUCCUAGCAAUACCUGCAAAACUUUCAUCAAAACUCUGUUGGGAAGAAACCGAACAACCGAAACAAAGCGAAAGCACAACCGGUGUUCUUUCUCUCCUUAUAACUCCUGUAAAAAUUAUGGCAAGCACAAUAGCACAAGAUAUGUUCUCUAGCAACCUUAAUCAACCACAAAUCAACUAAUGCAACCACAACAAAAAAUAAAUAGAGACACCGAUAUUUUUACGUGGAAAACCCCUCUAAAUUAAGGGUAAAAACCACGGGACUUUAGAGUCCGAUAAAGAGCUCCACUAUCAUCAAAUGUUCAACUACAAGAUCACAAUAUCAAGCCUACAACAAGCAUUCAACUCCGACAAGGCUAACAACAUGUAAUCUUUAGCAAAAGAGAGAAAAAUGAGAGAACAUCACCAAAAACGUAGCUGCUGAAAAAUGGGUAUUUCCGACGCUACAAGACUCGGAUGAAAAAUCCGACCGUACAAAGUCAAGAACACCUUAUCACCUAGCUGCUGUCCCAAAAUCAGCUCAAUCGAACCACGGAUGGACCUUCGAUCGAAGAGUUGAUCACUGCUGCACCAAGCUUGAAAAACUGAUUUUUUUCUUUCUCUCUUUCUCUCUGUUUUUUUUUCUUUAGCUCUCUGCUAAAAUUUUUGCCCAACACCCGUUAAAAACCCAAAAUGGCUUUUUUGACAAAACCAAAGAAGGGACAAAACAUUAUGGCAUAAAAUAUGGGUUUCCCACAUAGUGGGACCCAUACCCAACAAAUCUCCCCCUCCAACUAUGUGGGGAAUGCCUCCAUGCCGGAGGUCAAACAACAUGCUUCAAACUUUCCUCUUGGUAAGGCCUUCGUCAACAUAUCAGCACCAUUAUCAUUAGUGUGUAUCUUCUCAAGCUCUAACAGCUUAGCUUCAAGAACAUCUCGUAUCCAAUGGUACCUCACAUCAAUAUGCUUAGAUCUAGCAUGAAAAGUUGAGUUCUUACCAAGAUGAAUAGCACUCUGGCUAUCACAAUACAGGACAUACUUCUCCUGAGUAAAACCAAGCUCAUGCACAAACUUCUUCAUCCAAAGCAUCUCCUUACACGCUUCGGUUGCUGCAAUGAACUCUGAUUCGGUGGUGGACAAUGCAACACACUUUUGCAGUCUCGAUUGCCAUGCCACAGCUCCCCCUGCAUAAGUGAUUAAGUAACCUGAAGUAGAUCUCCUCGAGUCAAUGUCUCCGGCCAUGUCUGAAUCUGUAUACCCAACAAGAACAGGUUUCUCAUUGCCGAAACAAAGUUUCAUGUUGGAAGUGCCACGAAGAUAUCUCAUAAUCCACUUCACUGCAUUCCAAUGCUCUCUGCCUGGAUUAGAAAGAAACCGACUAACUGUACCAACGGCAUAAGCCAAGUCUGGUCUCGUGCAAACCAUUGCGUACAUCAAACUACCCACGGCUGAAGAGUAAGGAAUUUUCUGCAUCUCUUCCUUCUCCUUUUCUGUGGAAGGACUAUGCUUAACACUCAAUCUAAAGUGCAUAGCAAAGAGAGUAUUCACCGCUUUAGCUUUGUCCAUACUAAACCUUUGAAGUACUUUCUCAAUGUACCUCUCUUGUGAUAACCAUAAUUUCUUGGCCUUUCUAUCACGUGUCAGUCUUAUGCCAAGAAUUUGCUUUGCUGGCCCCAAAUCCUUCAUUGCAAAGGAUUUACUCAACUCUUGUUUCAACUUCUCAAUUCUAGAAGCAUUCUGACCAACAAUAAGCAUAUCAUCAACAUAGAGCAAAAGAAUAAUAAAAUCAUCACCAGAGAAUCUCUUAACAAACACACAAUGAUCAGAAGUAGUCUUCUUGUAGCCUUGCUCCCCCAUAACAGACUCAAACUUCUUGUACCAUUGCCUUGGAGCUUGCUUCAAACCAUAGAAGCUCUUCUUCAAUCUGCACACAUAGUCCUCUUUCCCUUGUACAACAAAACCCUCUGGCUGCUCCAUGUAAAGCUCUUCUUCCAAGUCACCAUGAAGAAAAGCAGUUUUCACAUCCAUUUGUUCAACCUCUAGGUCAUAACAAGCUACCAAACUCAGUAUAGUUCUGAUAGAGGACAUCUUCACAACCGGAGAAAAUAUUUCUUCAAAAUCAACCCCCUUUUUCUGAGUAUAACCCUUGACGACCAAUCUAGCUUUGUAUCAUGGAGAUGAAGACUUCUCUUCUUGCUUCAACCUGUAAACCCACCGAUUCUUCAAAGCUCUUUUGCCUUUAGGCAGUUUCACCAAUUCAAAAGUAUGGUUCUCAUGCAAGGAUUGAAGUUCGUCUUUCAUCGCUUCAACCCACUGAUCUUUGCAUUCACUCUCCAUAGCCUCUUCAUAACAUUCAGGUUCUCCCCCGUCAGUCAAAAGAACAUAUUCAUCAGGAGAAUACCUGACAGAAGAUCGUCGGUCUCUGGAAGACCUUCGAAGUGGAACUGCUGGUGGAGCUAUAGGUGCUUGUUGUUGAUCAUUCACAACAUCAUCCAUGGGAGUAUCAAAGUCACCUAUAGUCUGAUGGUCACCACUAACAUCACCAUGCACAACAUCCUGGAUAGGAUCUGGUGAAGAGUCUAGGGGAACCGGAUUCACAUCGAUCAAGUCACCACUACCUUGUGAAUCCACUUUCUCCGUCUUAUCAAUGUCAUCAAUGGUCUGAUCCUCAAUGAAGACAACAUCUCUGCUUCUCACGAGUUUCUUCUGAACUGGAUCAUAGAGUCUAUAACCAAACUCACCAUCUAGACCAUAACCAAUAAAAAUGCAUUGUCGAGCCUUGGCAUCCAACUUGGAUCUUUUAUCCUUUGGAACAUGAACAAAUGCUUUACAACCGAACACACGUAGGUGAUCAUAUGACACGUCUUUACCAAACCAAACUCUAUCUGGCACAUCACCUUUCAAAGGAACACUAGGAGACAGAUUUAUCACAUGUGUCACUGUAUUCAAAGCUUCAGCCCAAAACGAUCUUGGUAACUUUGCAUCUGACAACAAACAUCUGACUCUCUCAAUCAAUGUUCGGUUCAUUCUUUCAGCUAACCCAUUUAACUGUGGAGUCUUUGGUGGUGUUCUCUGAUGUCUGAUUCCCUGUCGCAGACAAUACUCAUGAAACGACCCUGUGUACUCGCCACCAUUAUCAGUACGAAUGCACUUCAACUUCUUCCCAGUUUCCCUUUCAACUGAUGCUUGAAACUGUUUAAACACCUCAAAGACUUGAUUUUUAGACUUCAAAGUGUAAACCCAUAGCUUUCUUGAACAAUCAUCAAUGAAAGUCACAAAGUAAAGUGCACCACCAUGUGAUCUUACUUUUAUCGGACCACAAACAUCUGAAUGGACCAACUCUAGCAACUCUGAUUUCCUAUGAGGAGGAUGGCUUCUAAAUGAAACUCUUUUCUGCUUUCCUGCUAGACAAUGAGCACAAUUCUUCAGUGUAGCAUUCUUUAAACCCGAAAGUUGAUUCUUCUUCGCUAAACAGCUAAGCCCCUUCUCACUCAUGUGACUGAGUCGUUUAUGCCACAACUCAGUUGAGUUGUCAUUCAGUGUCACAUUCACCGUCUCUCGAGAAGUCAAAGCUUGCAUCAAGUACAAAUUUGAGUUCUUCUUUCCUCGAGCCACAACUAAGGAGCCUUUAGUCAGCUUCCACUGCCCUUCACUGAAGGUGUUACAGAAUCCCUCAUCAUCAAGCUUUCCUGCAGAAAUCAAAUUCAAACGGACAUCCGGUGCAUGUCUGACAUCCUUGAGAGUUAACUUUGUUCCAUUGUUACUUACCAAGCUAACAUCUCCCAUACCAAUAACCGAAACCAAACCAUCAUUACCCAUCUUCAAUACCCCAAAAUCACCAGGAGUAUAAGAUGUGAAGAAUUCCUUCCUCGACGUGACAUGAAGUGAUGCACCAGUAUCAAUCACCCAACUAGUCUCGUCGCAUGCUAGGUUGACCAAAUUCUGAUCACAAAUAACUAACAAAUCUUCACGAGUAACAGUAGCAACACGCUCGGAUUUUUCAUCGUCAUUCCGGUCGUGUUUAUCACCACCACCUUUGUUCUCUUUCUUCCACUUGAAGCAAUAUUUCUUGAUAUGACCUUUCUUACCACAAUGAUGACACUCAAGAUUCUUGUAUCUCGAUCUUGACUUGCUUCGGCUUUUAUCUCUACCCUUUCCAUCUUUGUCUCUGUUUCUCCCCCUGUUCUCGAUAACCAACACCUCGGACUGUGAUGUAGAACCCUGAGAUCUUCUUCUAACCUCUUCAUUCAACACACCACUCUUAGCCAAAUCCAAAGUAAUAAUACCCUGUGGGGCAGAAUUAAUGAGUGAGACUCGAAAGGUCUCCCAAGAGUCUGGUAGAGUAGAAAGCAACCAAAGUCCUAAAAUCUCGUCAUCAAAUUUGACACCCAUACCAAGCAACUGAUUCAUCAUACUCUGAAAUUCACUAACAUGGUCAGCUAUAGACAUUCCUUCUUUAUAUUUCAGCGCCAUCAUUUUCUUCAGCAAAAAUAACUUGUUAUUGCCCGACCUCGAAGCAUACAAGCUUUCAAGCUUCUCCCACAAUGUUCGAGCAUGUGUCUCCUGAUCAAUGUGAUUGUAAACAUUUUCUUCAACAAAUUGCCGAAUAAAGCCACACACUUGUUGAUGCUCAAAUUCCCAUUCUUCAUCACUUUUCGAAUCGGGUUUUUGAGUAGUAAAGACCGGAAGAUGCAAAGCCUUCACAAACAACAAGUCCUUCAUUUUAUUCCGCCAAAGUUGAUAAUUUGUGCCAUUCAACAUAAUCAUCUUGCUCGUAUUAAUUUCCAUAAUUAUCUGACACAAUAACCAAGCUCUGGUACCAGUUUGUUGGGAAGAAACCGAACAACCGAAACAAAGCGAAAGCACAACCGGUGUUCUUUCUCUCCUUAUAACUCCUGUAAAAAUUAUGGCAAGCACAAUAGCACAAGAUAUGUUCUCUAGCAACCUUAAUCAACCACAAAUCAACUAAUGCAACCACAACAAAAAUAAAUAGAGACACCGAUAUUUUUACGUGGAAAACCCCUCUAAAUUAAGGGUAAAAACCACGGGACUUUAGAGUCCGAUAAAGAGCUCCACUAUCAUCAAAUGUUCAACUACAAGAUCACAAUAUCAAGCCUACAACAAGCAUUCAACUCCGACAAGGCUAACAACAUGUAAUCUUUAGCAAAAGAGAGAAAAAUGAGAGAACAUCACCAAAAACGUAGCUGCUGAAAAAUGGGUAUUUCCGACGCUACAAGACUCGGAUGAAAAAUCCGACCGUACAAAGUCAAGAACACCUUAUCACCUAGCUGCUGUCCAAAAAUCAGCUCAAUCGAACCACGGAUGGACCUUCGAUCGAAGAGUUGAUCACUGCUGCACCAAGCUUGAAAAACUGAUUUUUUUCUUUCUCUCUUUCUCUCUGUUUUUUUUUCUUUAGCUCUCUGCUAAAAUUUUUGCCCAACACCCGUUAAAAACCCAAAAUGGCUUUUUUUGACAAAACCAAAGAAGGGACAAAACAUUAUGGCAUAAAAUAUGGGUUUCCCACAUAGUGGGACCCAUACCCAACAAACUCAAGUUCUCGAGCUUCACAAUCAAGCAGCAUCUCAAUCAACAGACCAAGCGACACACCAGUAGCUGAAGCUACUACCCGUACUGAUUCACACUCAACUGGCAACCUUGCAAGAAUGAUGCUGACCAUUUCUUGAUUUGAAAUCAAACAACUCGUUGCAACCAACAUAUCACACAUGGACUUGAUCUUAGACAAAUAUUCUUUAACAAACAGAUGACCCUUUUUCUGUGAAUACAACACAUGAUGCAUACUGGACAAUUUUACCGUCGACUUAGUCGCAAGCCUUUUUUUCAAUAGUUUCCCAAAUAUAAUAACUAGUACGAGCACUAGUAAGAUAGGCUAGAAUUUCAUCACUAUCAGUUGAAAGUAACCAAGAAGCCAAUAGCUUAUCUUGUUGCACAUGUAAAACAUAAUCAGAAUCUUCUACUAAUCUCCCAUAUUUAUCCACUACAAACUGUGCUAGUACACUAAUAGCACCCAAAACAAACUCAUGCAGACCGUAUCAUUCAAGGAUCAACAUAAUUUGGAGCUUCCAUAAAACAAAAUUAUACUCACCAAGCUUUAUUGUAUCGUGCUUAGGAAAUUGUUGAAGACAUCUACAACUGUUGAGGUGGGUUUUCUUUAAACAUACUCAUUCCAACAAAAAAAAAAUCUACGUUAGUAUGAUUAAUUAGAAAGUGAUUAAUUCAUUAUUUAGUUAGAAGUGAUGGCCUUAAGAAAAAAAAUGACAUUAUUUUAUUUGGCAUUGUUAAAAGUGUUAGUUACUGAAAUAAUUAAUGAGAUUAUAAAAGUGAAAGAAUCAAAUUAUGUCAAAAGUAAAGUAGAGGGUUUUAAUCUUAAAUUUGGGUAAAAUAAAGGGACUAACACCAAAUAAUUAUAAAAUUUUCAAAUAUUUUGAAAUUAAUUUUAAAUAUUAAUUAAAUACAAAUUAUAAAAAAUAAAAUAAAAAUCCCCAGCGCAGUGAGGGACAUAUUCGAUAUCAAUAAUUAUAAAAUCUGCAGUUGUAAUAUUUAAUUGAUAUAAUAUAUAAAAUUUGAGGGUUAAAUUUGUUAUUAUACAAUUUUUUUAACUGCCGUGUCACUUUGCAAUUUUUUAUUUUAAGGAGUCAUCAAAAUAACUAAACUAUGUAAUGUGAGUGCUUAAAUUACAAAAUUUUUACUUUAAUGUGAGUGCUUAAAUUACAAAAUUUUUACUUUAAGUGUUUAAAUUUUUUUAAAAAAAUUAUAAUUAAAUAACAAUCUAUAUGUAGUUUGCCCAAAAAUUUUAUAACCCAAACUACACAAUUUUAUGGCCAUCUCCCACUUUUGAUAUCUCUUUGGCCAUUAGUUAAGAUGGGAGGGGAAUGACUUAUUCAAGAUUAGUGUCAACAUUAGAUUUAAAACCUACGGAAGUCAUGUUUCAAUUUUUUUAUAUAAUAAUAUAACAUUUAAAAUUAUAUUUUUAAAAUACAUUAUAUUUUUAAAGAAAAAUAUAAGUUCAAAUCUUGAAUACUAUAUUAUUGAAAGGGCAGUUAGGAAUCCGGAACUUAGAUAUUAAAAUAGGUAUGAAGAAUUAAAAAACAAAAAUAAAAUUUUAUUUCUAAAAAACAAAAACUUUGCAGGACUUAUCUUAUAUCUAUAAAAGAACUCAUUGGAUUAGGGUUUUUUUUUUAAUUAACUUUCCAUUUGUUAUUAGAAAACAAAACUAAAAAUGCAUCAAACAGGGCUCUGAUAAAAAAUUAAAAAAAAAAACCAAAAUGUUUAGGUUUGGUAUCGUUUUACUUUUACUUUAAAAUCAGUCUAAUCUGUAUCAUGCUCACACCAAACAUAUGAAGAAAAAAAAAGUGAAAUAGAAAGGAUAUUAUUAAUUUCAUUCCAAGACAAAUUUUAGCAUACCCAAUUAGGUCCUUGGGUUAAUCUUAUGUUUUUUGUUUAGGCAUUCAGCAUUCUUGGCGUUUAGUUUAGUUAGAAUUUUAAAUUAUGAUAGAUCUGAAACUUUGGUAUUUUUGUGCAAAACUCAACCUUAAAGCUUUAUUUGUUGUCUAAAUUAUUUUAUUGAAGCCUAGGAAUUGUUGUUAUUGUUUCGGCUAAUUGACCUUAAAGCAUCAAAUGCCUUUUUUUGGAUGGUCAUAUUCCUUCCAAGGGCUGAAUUACUAAAAGCCCAUGAAGUAUCCUUCUUUUUCUUAAGUGAGCCUCUGUUUCAAUGCCGCCAAAAUUUUCUUUAUCCACAUGGAAGCUGACCUGCCAUGAUGAUGUGGUAAAAAAAUGAACAAUUUGUAUUUUUUGAAAAAUAUAACACUUCAGAACUUUCUUUCUUCUUGCCUCCCAAUUCUCACCACCAAUUCCUUAGCCCAAAUCAGUUUUGGCCUCCGACAUUGAUCAUAACAAAAGUAAACUUUCUAUUAGAAAUAAUUUCUUUUAUGUACAAAUUAAAGGGUAAGAUAUUGUUUGGGUACAAAAAAAGCAUAUGAGCUUACUUUAGAAAAGUGACAACGUUGGGCUCUUUUAGUAUUCUAUCCUCCCACCAACUUUGUCCAAUGUUUUUUGCCUUAUCACCAGACAGUAAAAGGGCCUUUGACCUUUUCAGGCUAAGCGCUGCCUGGUGCAUGUAGGGGGAAAAGGCCUUCUAAUUGAAGUUCUCUUUAGUAUCUCUUUAAUUGUUUCUUAAUUGUAACAAAGGGAUAAUAUCGAACUCUCUAUUUCUCAAUAUUUGAGUAUUCAACACCAGGCAUGGGAUCAUAUGGAAAUAUGCAUAUGGUUGACAAAAGAAAGAAAAUUUGGAAAUGUUUAUUUAAGUAGUAACUGCUGGUUUUCUUGGAUGCUUUCUUGUUAAUGACUACUGUUUGGGCAUGUUUAUUUAAGAAUUGCCCCCAAGUAGUUUCUUGAAUCAUCUAAAAUUGGAAAAAUUAGUCUUAUGGUAACUCAUUAAAGUAUUUGAAAGUAUGCACAAGCUAAUAACAUUUUAGAAAUUAAAAUUUAAGAUCGGUUUUUAGGGUAUCAUGUCCAUAUUAAGCAUCAUCUUUCCAGAUUACUGUUCUCUCUCUCUCUCCCUCUCUGUGUGAUAUAUUUCUCAAGUGAAAGGUAACCUUCUUCACUUGAUUUUGACUUAAUUUUGCAGUCACCACGAUUGUAUAAUGUGUACAAGCAAAUGGGAAUUGUAAAAUCUUUUCAGAAUAUUCUGGACAAUGUUUUCAUUCCACUAUUUGAAGUUACAGUUGAUCCGAAUUCUCAUCCUCAACUACACGUGUUCCUAAAAAUGGUGAGUUCUAUGUUCAUCGGAGAACAUACUGUGCUAUAAUAAGAGAUUUCGGAAAAUAUAGUUAAAAAAUGCUUCUUUAUUGGAAUGACCUGCAUUAUAGCAAGCUGAAUAAAUGAUGCCUUAACUUUAUUCAUUGUGUUCUCAUAAUUCUUUAAAACCAUUCGAAAAUUCUCUUCAGCCACAUUAUAUGGUCAAUUUUUGGGUCUGUACUCUGUACUGCAUAUUGAACAUGGGUACAUCCUUGCGAUUUUAGAUGGAUGGAGUUGGACAGCAAAGCAAUUGAAAAAAACCCAAUUUAUGGUUUCUAAAUGUUAGAUCAUUUAUGGUUUCUAGUUUCAAUUUAAAAAAAAAAUCCAAAUCAGCCAACUAAUGAAAUUUUCAACGAUGUUAGUUAUUUUAACUAAUCCAUAACAUGUUUGCUUCUUUUUUUUUUUAGCCUAGCAGCAAUGUUAGCCUCUGGACUAGUUACCGCCCUCCUUUUUCCCCUCCCUAUUAACCCUUUUUAUUUUUCUUCUCAUUCACUCCAUGAGUCUUCGUUCUUUUCAGUUUACAGAUUUAUUUUGUGAGUAUUUUUGUUGUCUUUACAAGUUGUAAUGGACAGUUGACGACGGCUAUCAUCAUUGAAACACCACCGACCACCAACACUUUCUUUUAGAAAGUGGGUACCUCUUCGUUGACUACUUAAUUUGUUUAUAUUUUGAGAGUUUCAAAAUAAUAAAUGAUUUCAUGACUCGGUUUAGACUCAUGUUUUUUUUCCAUUGUUCAAUAAGUUUUUACUUUUAAAAGUUUUUUUCUACUCUUAUAGUAAGCUUUUUAGUCUUGCUUUUGCGAGUAAUUUUAGGGUUGGUUUUGUCGCCAUCCCCUCUAGUUUGGUGGAUGCUCAGUUCUUUUGUUGAUUUAUGCCCGCCGCUUUGGACCAUCCGGGGUUGAUUUUCUUACUAUAUUAAGUGCUUGUAAUCACUUCUGAUAUGUUGUGCUUGAGUUGUGAUAGAGCUGAUUUCAACAUGCCAUAAUGUUCUAUUAAUGUUGAAGCUAAAGCUUUUGUUAUAUUGAUGGAGCUUGUCCUUUAGCGAGUACAACAAGUGUUUGUUAUUUCCUCCCCCCCCCCGAAUUGUAUGGUAUUAUUCAUUGAAUAAAUUAAUGAAGUUGUCUUAAAAAAAACUAAUCCAUAACAUUAACAUUAAUAAGAGAACAAAAUAUAUCAAAUUAAAAAAGAAAAACUGAAUCUUUAAUUCAAUUGAGAAAUUAUAGGGAUUAAAACUAUAAAUUGAUCUAUAAUAAUUUCUCAGGCAUUAAUUGUAAGAUUAAUUCCAUAACCUAAAUUAUUGUAGGGGCUAUAUAAGCUCAAGGUUGACGCAAAAGUCAAUAGUCAGCGUCUGAAAGUUAAUGCAAUUAAUUAUGUCAUUGUUGAUAUAUUUAACGCAAAUAUAUUAUCAUAUGUGUAAUGUCAUACCAUCUUAUUAUUUCCAUAUGUUACUAAAAAUCUAGUUAACGGACUAAGGAUUGUCAUUUGUAUCAAGACUGAAAUUUUAAAUUUUGAAAAAUAUAGGUACUUAGAAUAAUCCAAUUAGAGAGUAUGGACUAAAUCAACAAUUAUACGCAUAAUAUAGGACUAGUAAUUGGUUUUAAUUAAAUUGAUUUAACUCUAUUGUUUGGAUCACAACUAAAAUUUUAAAAUUCAAAAUGUAUAGGGAUUAAAAUUGAUCAAAUUGAAGUAAAUAGACUAAAUUUACAACUUUCACAAAGAACAGUGACCAACAGCAGAAUUUAACCAAAUAAGCUCACCAAAGUCAAUAGUCAAUCUUUGAAAAGUAAUGCAAUUAAUUAUGUCAUUGUAGGAACGCUUUCCUGACAUAAAAUUCCACCAACUAAGCCUUUUGCGUAAAUAUUAGCUAUGAAAAUUCAACCAUUGAUAUUAAAUUCAAGACCCCACAAAUGACAGACAUAUAUGUUGGAAAAAUCUUUGUGUGAACAUUUCUUUCGGUCAUACUCAUGUCGUAUAAGUUAGAGGAGCACAAGUCUAGAUUCAUCCAAUUUUUGAGGAAUUAAUUAAUUAUAUAUUAGUUUAAAAUUAUAGUGAAUUAGUGAGACGCCAUAGGUCUUGCUUGCAUAUAAAUAAGAAGCUUAGGCUUCUUCAGAUUAUUUACAUAUAAAAGUUUAAAAAGUAACAUAUAGCUAAGAGAGAAGAGGAAAACAGAAAGAUGAUGAUGAUAAUGAUGGAGUGGAAAUGGUUAUGGUUUAUAAGGAUGGCAGUAAUGUUGUUGGUGUUAGAAGGGUGCAGGUGGUGUACUACUGAUGCUUGUUUGGAGCAUGAGUCGCCUUCUUGCAUCUCAAACCUUUCUUCAAUUAUGAUAAUCAAUUGAAAAGUUGGAUUGAGGUGAAGGGUUCAGAUUGUUGUAAAUGGAAAAGAGUUGAGUGCAACACCAUCACUAGGAGAGUCAUACAACUCUCCCUUAAUCAUACAUCAUCCAAUAUAUAAAUGAAUUAAUGAAUUUACCUUUCAAAAGAGAAAAAAAGAAUUCAUAAAUUUUGAAAUACAAAAUGAACGUGUUUUGAUAUUUUUAGGGCAAUGGUUUAGUGGUUCAAAAUUUUGAUUUAAUAUGGUGAAUUUAAUUAUAAUUUUUUAUAUAUUAGAUAGUAGAAUAUAUUUUACCAUUUAUAAUUAAGUACAAUUAAGUUUAGGUUAAAAUAUUUUAUUAAAUUUUUGUACUUUUCACAAAUUUUAAAUUUAAUCUGUUUACUUUUAUUCUAGAAUUUAAUCUCUCUGCAUGUAAAGGAGGUUAUUAUGGCAAGGGGAAUUACCAUGGCAGAGGUAGCCGAGGCUGACGAAGAGAUGCUGGAUAUGCUGAAGAAAGAUAGAUGGCUGAGAAACAGAAAAACUUUAGGAACAAUAUUCAGUGUUAGAAGUAUGGGGAUGUGAAGGCAGAUUGUUGGAAAAGGGGAAACAAGCAAAUUUUGCCGAAGAUGAUGAAGAGAUUUAAAUUAUUUAUGAGCUGUCUAGAUGACACUAUAGCUUCAACUAACAUUUGGUUUCAAGGGCGUAUAUCUCAUGAUGAAGAGAUCGUCUCUCUUCUUUUUUCUCAUAACAUAUUACACGCCAUGAUAAUAAAUAUUGAUAUGCCUAUAAAUUUGAGUUUCUAUUAUUUGUAGUCAUGAUUUGGUUCACUCCAUAAGUUACAUAAAUUUAUUAUAAUAAUUCAAUUAAUUUUAGAUUAAUUUUACAUUUUUGCCCGAACUUUAGUUUUUAAUAAUUCAAUCAUCCCACCAUUAUAUUCAAUUAAAAGUGUAAUACGAUUUUGCGUCAUCCAACCAUUAUUCUUAGUGUAAUUUUUGGUAGUGAGCAUAGAAGGACAGCGAGAACAAAGAAAGAAUGUAUCCAAUAACCCACUCCCCUUAUAGUCAAUGCUUAAAAUGAUUAAGAAAAUAGAAAACAAACGUGGCAAAGUUAGUUACAAUGCCAGCUAAUUUGUUAUUACUAUUCACCGUAUAACUAAGGACAUUACGCACCGUUUUAAUUAAAACAAACUCACCGUUUAAGACCGUUACUUCUAUGCAUCGUUUUAAUCAUAUGCGUCAGUUCGAACAAAUAGGUGAACAUGAAAGCUUUUCGCAAAGUUUAGAUGUGUGCUUAAAACUCAAACUUUGUGUUCUGUAAAAAUAUUGAUUUUGUUGUAAUUGUAGGUUGAACUUUGUGAGUCCAAUUACUUUCUUUGGCAUCGGAUAUUUCGUGGAACUUUCGUAUGAGAUAGAAGAUUACAAAAUUUGGAUAUUAAUAUAUUUUUCAUGAUUUAAUUUUCUUUUCCUUUUUUGGGCUAAAAUAAUUAAUAACGAAAACACGUCUUUUGCUAGCACCUAUUAUUAGAAUAUAUCCCAUACCUUGCCCAUACCUUUCCCAUACCUACCCAUACCUUGGAAAGGUCAAAGUUAUGGGCACCAAAUAUUUAUUUAGUGUUGGGCAUGGGAUAAUAGCAAUUUUUGGUCCCUAAGUGAAUAGGGACUUUGCAAGGUGGCCCUUGAAUCUCAACUAUAAAUAGGCCAAUCAUUGCUCAUUCUCAUCAUCCCACAUUUGCCAUUCUCUACUUAAGGCAUUGUUCUCUCUCCCUAUUUGUAAAGUUUCACUUGUAUUUUGGAGUGAAAUAUAUUUGGUAGUGCCCGAGGACGUAGGCAAGAUUUGCCGAACCUCGUUAAAAUUUUGGUGUUCUUUACUAUUUAAUGUUUAUAUUUUGUGAGUGUGAUUGUAGUGAUUUAUUGUGCUAUUAAAUUACGAUAGAGGGAUAUUCUGGCUAGGAAAGACUUGGUACUUAAGUGAUCCUCGUGAUUCACCUCUCUUUCCUGGGAAUUGAACUUAGUGUGAUUUUUUAGUACAAUAAUUUUACUCUUUCACACGCUUCCGCGCAACAAUUGGUAUCAGAGCUAGGUUCGUACUUGGGGAAUACGACCGUUUACGGUACUAUUCACGUAUACGACACUAUUCACGUAUACGGUACUGUUCACGUAUACAGUAGUUGGGAUUGAGGAGAAAAAUGGCAGCAGCAUCGUCAUCAGCAAGGACUACUGUGACAAAUGCAAAAUUUGAAGUAGAGAAAUUUGACGGUACCAAUAAUUUUGGUAUGUGGCAAUGUGAGAUCCUGGAUGUCUUAUGUCAGCAAGAGCUAGAUAUAGCCCUUGAAGAAAAACCUGACAAGAUGGAUGACAAGGAGUGGGCCAAGAUCAAUAGAUAAGCGUGUGGUACAAUCCGCCUAUGUUUGGCCAAAGAGCAGAAGUACUCUGUCAUGAGGGAGACAUCAGCGAAGAAGUUAUGGGAUACACUGGAAGAAAAGUUUCUAACGAAAAGUCUUGAAAAUAGGCUUUAUAUGAAAAAGAAACUUUAUCGAUUCACGUAUGCACCCGGUAUGUCGAUGAAUGACCAUGUGAACUCAUUCAAUAAAAUUUUAGCAGACUUGCUAAAUUUGGAUGAGAAAUUUGAAGAUGAAGACAAGGCAUUAUUGUUGUUGAAUUCCCUUCCUGAUGAAUAUGAUCAUCUUACCACCACAUUGCUUCAUGGGAAGGACACGAUCACAUUUGAUGCAGUCUGUAGUGCGUUGUAUAGAUCUGAGACUCGAAAGAAAGAUAAAAGAGAUCACAGACAUACAACCACAGAAGUCUUAACAGUAAGAGGUCGUUCACACAGCAGCAAAUCUGGUAGAAGGGGAAAGUCCAAAGGGAGACCCGCCAAAGAUGAAUGUGCCUUUUGCCGUGAAAAAGGGCAUUGGAAAAAGAAUUGUCCUAAGCUACAAAAGGGCAAGGCUAUUUCUAAUGCAUGUGUAGCGGAGCAUGAUGAGGAGUCAGACUUUAGUUUGGUUGGCAUGGCAAUGACAUGUCAAACGGAUGAGUGGAUUUUGGAUUCAGGAUGUACUUACCAUAUGUGUCCUAAUAAGGACUGGCUUUCUAGUCUUAAAGAGCUAGAAGGUGGAAUUGUUCUUAUGGGCAAUGAUAGUGCUUGUAAGACAAUGGGAGUGGGUACAGUCCAAUUGAAGAAUCACGACGGCUCAAUCCAAGUCUUGACAGAUGUUCCCUACGUACCUAGCCUGAAGAAAAAUCUCAUCUCAUUAGGUGCCCUAGAAUCUAAAGGGCUCACAAUCACUUUGAGAGAUGGAUUACUAAAAGUAGUAGCUGGGCAACUGACGGUGAUGAAAGGCACAAGAAGAAAUAACUUGUAUUUUUUAAAUGGAAGUACAGUUAUUGGAUCAACAUCAACAGUUUCUACAAAAGAUGUAGAUUCAGAGGCUACCAGAUUAUGGCAUAUGCGAUUGGGACAUGCUGGUGAAAAAGCUUUGCAGACAUUGGUGAAGCAAGGCUUAUUGAAAGGUGCAAAUUCUUGCAAAAUGGAAUUCUGUGAACAUUGUGUUCUGGGCAAGCAGAAGAGGGUAAAAUUUGGUCCAGCAAUUCACAAUACGAAAGGAAUUCUGGACUACGUUCACAGUGAUGUGUGGGGACCUACCAAAGUAGCUUCUUUGGGAGGUAUGCACUAUUUUGUUACUUUUGUUGAUGAUUAUUCAAGAAAAGUAUGGGUGUAUCUAAUGAAAAGAAAAAGUGAAGUUUUGGAUGCAUUUCUGAAAUGGAAGAAGAUGGUUAAGACUCAGACUGAUCGAAAGGUCAAACGACUUCGAUCAGAUAAUGGUACUGAGUACAAAAACGAUCCAUUUCUACAAGUAUGCCAAGAUGAGGGCAUUGUGCGACACUUCACUGUUCGGGAUACACCACAGCAAAAUGGGGUGGCAGAACGAAUGAAUCGAACUAUACUGGAGAAAGUUCGAUGUAUGUUGUCCAAUGCUGGAUUGGGCAAAGAAUUUUGGGCUGAGGCAGUUACAUAUGCGUGCCAUCUAAUUAACUGUUUGCCAUCAGCUGCAAUAAAUGGAAACACUCCUAUGGAGAUGUGGACUGGUAAAUCUGCUACUGAUUAUGAUUCUUUGCAUGUAUUUGGUUCUACUGCAUAUUAUCAUGUAAAAGAAUCUAAGUUAGACCCAAGAGCAAAGAAAGCAUUAUUCUUGGGUAUAACUGAUGGAGUAAAAGGAUAUCGUCUCUGGUGUCCUGAUACAAGGAAGAUUGUUUUCAGUAGAGAUGUGACUUUUGAUGAAUCAACCAUGUUAAAGUACAAGGAUUCACAAAAGGAUGGCAAAACCAGUAGUACUUUGCAGCAGGUGGAGCUUGAAAAGGUUAACGAUGAUCCAGCUAAUAUUGAAGGGACAAAUGAUGAAGAGGUUCCUACCCAAGAACCUCUACAGCAACAAGAUUCAAUUGCAUAUAGGAGGCCAAGAAGAGAGAUUAGUAAGCCUGCUCGCUUUGAUGAUAUAGUGGCCUAUGCACUUCCAAUUGCAGAUGAUGAUGUUCCUUCUACUUACACAGAAGUAAUAAGUAACCCUGAUGGUGUAAAGUGGAAGCAAGCAAUGAAUGAAGAAAUGCAGUCUCUUCAUAAAAAUAAGACCUGGGAGUUGGUGACACUACCCAAGGGAAAGAAGGCAAUUGGAUGCAAAUGGGUAUAUGCAAAGAAGGAAGGAUUUCCUGAUAAAAAUGAAAUUCGAUACAAGGCUAGAUUAGUAGCGAAGGGUUACGCUCAGAAAGAAGGAAUAGACUAUAAUGAAGUGUUUUCUCCAGUUGUGAAGCAUUCGUCUAUUCGGAUUUUGCUAGCCUUGGUUGCGCAAUAUGAUCUUGAACUAGUUCAGCUUGAUGUGAAGACCGCGUUUUUACACGGUGAUUUGGAAGAGGAAAUCUAUAUGACUCAGCCAGAUGGAUUCAAGGUUGCUGGAAAAGAAAAUUGGGUUUGCAAACUGACAAAGUCGCUUUAUGGAUUGAAGCAAUCUCCGAGGCAGUGGUACAAGCGAUUUGAUCAGUUCAUGAAAGGGCAAAGGUACACAAGAAGUAAAUUUGAUCAUUGCGUGUAUUUUCAGAAGCUACAAGAAGGAACUUUCAUAUACUUGCUAUUAUAUGUUGAUGAUAUGCUAAUAGCAUCUAAGAGCAAAGUUGAGAUUGAAAGAUUGUAGACUCAACUCAAUCUCGAGUUUGAGAUGAAAGAUCUAGGAGAAGCUAAAAAGAUUCUCGGCAUGGAAAUAUGGAGAGAUAGAGCUCAUGAUAGAGUUAGCUUGUCUCAGAAACAGUAUUUGAAAAAGGUACUACAGCAGUUUGGCAUAAACGAGCAGACAAAACCUGUAAGUACCCCGUUGGCUUCUCAUUUCAAGCUUUCUGCACAACUAUCUCCUUCGACGAAUACGGAACGAGAAUACAUGUUGCAAGUUCCGUAUUCUAAUGCAGUGGGUAGCUUGAUGUAUGCAAUGGUGUGUACAAGACCCGACAUUUCACAGGCAGUUAGUAUAGUGAGCAGGUAUAUGCAUAAUCCUGGAAAAGGACAUUGGCAAGCUGUGAAAUGGAUUCUACGGUAUAUUCAGAAGACCGUAGAUGUUGGAUUACUGUUCAAGCAGGAUAAUACACUUGGUAAAGGUGUUAUUGGAUACGUUGAUUCUGACUAUGCCGGUGAUUUGGACAAGCGAAGAUCAACCACCGGUUAUGUGUUUACACUUGCUGGAGGACCAAUAAGUUGGAAGUCUACACUACAGUCUACAGUUGCGUUGUCAACCACAGAAGCCGAGUACAUGGCUGUAACAGAGGCUGUAAAGGAGGCUAUUUGGUUACAAGGUAUGGCUAAAACCUUGGGGUUGGUUCAGGAGCAUAUUAACGUGUAUUGUGAUAGUCAAAGUGCUAUUCAUUUAGCAAAGAAUCAAGUCUAUCAUGCACGUAUAAAACAUAUCGACGUACGAUUCCAUUUUGUGCAGGAAAUUAUUGAAGAGGGGAAAAUUUGUCUUCAGAAGAUCAAGACUGCAGAUAAUCCCGCAGAUAUGAUGACCAAGGUGGUAACAGCAACCAAGUUCGAACAUUGUUUGAACUUGAUCAAUAACCUGCAAGUUUAACAGUCGAAGAAGGCACUAUCAAGUAUUGUUGUCAAAGGCAAAAAGAAUUGUGUGAAGAUAAGAUUAUCCUAAUCAAAUCUUCAAGGUGGAGAUUAUUAGAAUAUAUCCCAUACCUUGCCCACACCUUUCCCAUACCUACCCAUACCUUGGAAAGGUCAAAGUUAUGGGCACCAAAUAUUUAUUUAGUGUUGGGCAUGGGAUAAUAGCAAUUUUUGGUCCCUAAGUGAAUAGGGACUUUGCAAGGUGGCCCUUGAAUCUCAACUAUAAAUAGGCCAACCAUUGCUCAUUCUCAUCAUCCCACAUUUGCCAUUCUCUACUUAAGGCAUUGUUCUCUCUCCCUAUUUGUAAAGUUUCACUUGUAUUUUGGAGUGAAAUAUAUUUGGUAGUGCCCGAGGACGUAGGCAAGAUUUGCCGAACCUCGUUAAAAUUUUGGUGUUCUUUACUAUUUAAUGUUCAUAUUUUGUGAGUGUGAUUGUAGUGAUUUAUUGUGCUAUUAAAUUACGAUAGAGGGAUAUUCUGGCUAGGAAAGACUUGGUACUUAAGUGAUCCUCGUGAUUCACCUCUCUUUCUUGGGAAUUGAACUUAGUGUGAUUUUUUAGUACAAAAAUUUUACUCUUUCACACGCUUCCGCGCAACACCUAUAAAUGCCUUAAAAAUGUAAAUUAAUAUUCCACAAUAAUUAUUAAGAUGAAAAGAAUUUUAUAAUCUAAACUUACGAUUUCAUGUGAAUUUAAUGUUUAGUUAUAGUUUUAAUUACAAAGUUAAAUUGGUAUCUUUGUUAUUGCAAUAAUUAAAAAAAGAUGAGUCCAAAUGAAGUUGAUUUUCUGUUUUUUAAAAGUGAAUGCAAGAUGGGACGGCUGUAAUUUUUUUUAUUAAACAGUAAGUAUGAAGCAGUUAUGGUAAUUGCUUGCUCCAUCUCACUCCACUCCACUAUAUAAAAUUACCAUUUCAUUCUUUUAUAUAUAGAAAAAAAUUAAAUAUUUUAUGAAAAUAAUCAUGUUUAAAUUUCCAAGAAUAAAAGCAAACUGAAGACUUAAAAUUUCCAUUAAUAAAACCAAAAUCAAAGAAGUAAAUUUUCCAUGAAUAAAACAAAAAAUGAAGAUCUAAAUUUUCCAUUAAUAAAGCCAAGUCAAGACUAAGUUUGUAUAAGUGUAAGAAGGGUAUAAAUGAAACUCACAAGAAAGUCACAUGAAGAAUUUUAUAACCCCAAACUACACGAUUUUAUGUCCACCUCUCACUUUUUAUAUUUUUUUGGCCAUUCGUUUUUCAAGAUUAACAUCAGCAUUCUUGUAGUCCGUUCAUCCUUUUCUAAUGAAUUUCCACCAAGAGUUUUAUUUUUCAAAAUGUUAAAUUAACUCAUGAUAUUAAUUAAAUCAAGAAAUUUUAUAAUAAUAGAGAUGAAAAAACUAAAUUUUUAAAAUCAAAACCUAAAAUGUGCAAGAAUAAAAGCAAACUGAAGACUUAAAAUCUCCAUUAAAAAAAUCAAAAUCAAAGAAGUAAAAUUUCCAUGAAUAAAACGAAAAAUGAAGACCUAAAAUUUCCAUUAAUAAAUCCAAGUCAAGACUAAGUUUGUAUAAGCGUAAGAAGGGUAUAAAUGAAACUCACAAGAAAGCCACAUUAAGAAUACACGAUUUUAUGUCCACCUCUCACUUUUCAGUUUUUUUGGUCAUUAGUUAUUCUAAGAUUUAACAUCAACAUUUGAUUUCAAAUCAAUGUUAAACCAUGUUUAAACUCUUUUUCUUAUAUAAUAAUUAUAUUAUAUUUAAAAUUGAAAAAACUAACCAACCAAAUAUAUAUUAAUUAAUUAAUAGAAUUUUUUUUGCUCAUCGAUUAAAAUAAAUCAAGAAAGACGUUGGAACCACCAACCUCUCUUUAAGAACAACAGGAAUACAAGAACCUAUGCACAACAAGUACUAAAAUGUAUUAAGUAAAUUCAUCACCAGGCCUUAAAAAAAGAAGAUCUCGAUAUACCUGCUUUUGCCAAAGCAUCUGCCAUACCAUUACUUUGCCAGUGAAUAAUUCUGAACUGAAACUUAGCCAAUUGAGUGAUAUUAAUUAUAGAAAUGGUUCUUCUUGCAACCAUAGAUGAAACACCACUGAGACUAACAAACUUGGAGAAACUUGAUUAAAUCAAACUUAUGCAAAUUUCUUGAAUAUUUAAGUUAAGAGUUAACGUCAAAGUCAAGAGUUGAUAAGGAUUUUGUGGUCCAUUCAUAUCUUUAUUACAAUAUAUAUAUAUUCAAGAAAUUUGCAGCAAGUUGGAGUUUUGUAAUAAGGAAUUUCCACCAAGAGUUUUGGAAUAAGGAAUUUCCUCCAAGAAUUUUGCAGGAAUCAUAUCUCUAACAAAAGAAAGACCUUCAUUUGACUAAAUUUUUUAGUAUUUAUUUUAACUUCCAUUUUAUUAAAAAAAAAACAGAGGUAAAAAAUAUGCCAAACAGGGUCUUUAGGUUACUUUUCUUAGAACUAUAUUAUGUUAUAGUACCGUAUAAGUUAGAGGAGCACAAGUUUAGAUUCAUCCAAUUUUUGAGGAAUUAAUUAAAUAUAUAUUAUUUUAAUAUUAUAGUGUACAGAGGCAAUGUUAGAAAAAAAUUUUGUGGAGUCGAAAUUAAAUUAUAGUUUUUACAAUAGUAAAAAAAUAAUUUCACUAUUUUAAAAGUAUAUAUCUUUAUAAUUUUUAAAGAAUUAAAUCAAAUUUUUAUCAAUUUUAGGGGGUCAAUGUGCAAUUUUAUCUUUACUAAUUUAAAAUUUUAAAACAUUUAAAGGACCUAAAUAGGAAUUUUUCUAUUUUAGAGGCGUCUGAGACGCCUGUCUAGCUAUGCCCCUGAUAGUGAAUUAGUGGGAUGCCAUAGGUCCUGCUUGUAUAUAAAUAAGAAGGUUAGGCUUCUUCAGAUUAUAUACAUAUAGAAGUUAAAAAUUAACAGACAACUGAGAGAGAAGAGAAAACAGAAAGAUGAUGAUGAUGAUGAUGAUGAUGGAGUGGAAAUGGUUAUGGUUUAUUAGGAUGGCAGUAAUGUUGUUGGUGUUCGAAGGAUGCAGGUGGUGUACUAUUGAUGCUUGUUUGGAGCACGAGAGGAUUGCUCUCUUGCAUCUCAAACCUUUCUUCAAUUCUCGUGAUGAAUUGAAAAGUUGGGUUGAGGUGAAGGGUUCAGAUUGCUGUAAAUGGGAAAGAGUUGAGUGCAACACCACCACUAGGAGACUCAUACAACUUUCCCUUA